UGUCUUCAGGGCAGGGUGAAAUUCCCGAUUGGCGGUCAAAGUCCGCGAGCGCUUCGGCGCAUGAUUCGGUGCAACUCCGGAACCAACAGUGAUAGUCUGGAUGGAAGAAGACG
rnacentral:ncRNA from 1 species